GUAAGGAAUAUUGCGCAAUGGGCGAAAGCCUGACGCAGCAACGCCGCGUGGGCGAUGAAGGCCUUCGGGUUGUAAAGCCCUUUUCUGAGGGAUGAGUAAGGACAGUACCUCAGGAAUAAGUCUCGGCUAACUACGUGCCAGCAGCCGCGGUAAUACGUAGGAGGCUAGCGUUAUCCGGAUUUACUGGGCGUAAAGCGCGCGUAGGCGGCUUCUUAAGUCGGGCGUGAAAUCUCCUGGCUCAACUGGGAGAGGUCGCCCGAUACUGGGAGGCUUGAGGGCAGAAGAGGGAGACGGAAUUCCCGGUGUAGUGGUAAAAUGCGUAGAUAUCGGGAGGAACACCAGUGGCGAAAGCGGUCUCCUGGCCUGCCCCUGACGCUGAAGCGCGAAAGCGUGGGGAGCGAACGGGAUUAGAUACCCCGGUAGUCC
rnacentral:rRNA from 1 species